ACGGGUGAGUAACGCGUGGGAAUCUACCCAUCCCUACGGAAUAACGCAUGGAAACGUGUGCUAAUACCGUAUACGCCCUACGGGGGAAAGAUUUAUCGGGGAUGGAUGAGCCCGCGUUGGAUUUGCCAGUUGGUGGGGUAAAGGCCUACCAAGGCGACGAUCCAUAGCUGGUCUGAGAGGAUGAUCAGCCACAUUGGGACUGAGACACGGCCCAAACUCCUACGGGAGGCAGCAGUGGGGAAUAUUGGACAAUGGGCGCAAGCCUGAUCCAGCCAUGCCGCGUGAGUGAUGAAGGCCUUAGGGUUGUAAAGCUCUUUCACCGGAGAAGAUAAUGACGGUAUCCGGAGAAGAAGCCCCGGCUAACUUCGUGCCAGCAGCCGCGGUAAUACGAAGGGGGCUAGCGUUGUUCGGAAUUACUGGGCGUAAAGCGCACGUAGGCGGACUUUUAAGUCAGGGGUGAAAUCCCGGGGCUCAACCUCGGAACUGCCUUUGAUACUGGAAGUCUGGAGUAUGGAAGAGGUGAGUGGAAUUCCGAGU
rnacentral:rRNA from 1 species